rnacentral:rRNA from 1 species
UACGAAGGGGGCUAGCGUUGCUCGGAAUUACUGGGCGUAAAGCGCACGUAGGCGGGUCGUUAAGUCGGGGGUGAAAUCCUGGAGCUCAACUCCAGAACUGCCUUCGAUACUGGGAGCUCGAGUCCGGGAGAGGUGAGUGGAACUGCGAGUGUAGAGGUGAAAUUCGUAGAUAUUCGCAAGAACACCAGUGGCGAAGGCGGCUCACUGGCCCGGUACUGACGCUGAGGUGCGAAAGCGUGGGGAGCGAACGAGG